CACGCAGUAAACGAUGAUUACUAGGAGUUUGCGAUAGACAGUAAGCUCCCGAGCGAAAGCGUUAAGUAAUCCACCUGGGGAGUACGCCGGCAACGGUGAAACUCAAAGGAAUUGACGGGGGCCCGCACAAGCGGAGGAACAUGUGGUUUAAUUCGAUGAUACGCGAGGAACCUUACCCGGGAUUGAACGUAAGUGGAAUAACGUCAAAAGAUGUUAGCUAGCAAUAGCCGCUUACGAGGUGC
rnacentral:rRNA from 1 species